CAAUACCGUGCCACUGACUUUGCCUGCUACCAAAAACCUGCGUUAUUUAAUCAGUUGUAAUUGUAAUAUAUAGUGGUCUAUAUAGUAAAUAUAUAGUGUAUAUUAUUUUUAAGGAAAGUGUUUUCACUACAAGAGUAUUCUAGUAAUAAAACCAUGAGUUCUGUUGAUCUCAAGAGGACAUACUAGUCAGGUUAGAUGUAGAGGACAUUACUAGUCAGGUUAGAUGUAGAGGAUUACUCGUAGGUUAGAUCGUAGUAGAGGGACAUACUAGUCACGGGGAGAGUAGAGGACAUUACUAGUCAGGUGAGAUGUAGAGGACAUUACUAGUCAGGUUAGAUGUAGAGGACAUUACUAGUCAGGUAGGAUUUUUUUUUUUUGGUAGAGCUAUAUCCAGGUUAGAAACGAGUGACUACUACCGCUUUCACUUCCUAAUCA
rnacentral:lncRNA from 1 species